rnacentral:rRNA from 1 species
AACGAACGCUGGCGGCAUGCCUAACACAUGCAAGUCGAACGAGACCUUCGGGCCUAGUGGCGCACGGGUGCGUAACGCGUGGGAACCUGCCCUUAGGUUCGGAAUAACUCCCCGAAAGGGGUGCUAAUACCGGAUAUUGUCUUCGGACCAAAGAUUUAGCGCCUUUGGAUGGGCCCGCGUUGGAUUAGCUAGUUGGUAGGGUAAAAGCCUACCAAGGGGACGAUCCAUAGCUGGUCAGAGAGGAUGAUCAGCAACACUGGUACUGAGACACGGCCCAGACUCCUACGGGAGGGAGCAGUGGGGAAUAUUGGACAAGGGGCGAAAGCCUGAUCCAUCUAUGCCGCGUGAGUGAUGAAGGGCUUAGGGUUGGAAAGCUAUUUUAACCGGGAUGAUAAUGACAGUACCGGGAGAAUAAGCCCCGGCUAACUCCGUG